ACGGCUCAGUAACACGUGGAUAACCUGCCCUUGGGUCCGGCAUAACCCCGGGAAACUGGGGAUAAUUCCGGAUAACGCACAUAUGCUGGAAUGCUUUUUGCGUAAAAUGGAUUCGUCUGCCCAAGGAUGGGUCUGCGGCCUAUCAGGUAGUAGUGGGUGUAAUGUACCUACUAGCCUACGACGGGUACGGGUUGUGAGAGCAAGAGCCCGGAGAUGGAUUCUGAGACAUGAAUCCAGGCCCUACGGGGCGCAGCAGGCGCGAAAACUUUACAAUGCGGGAAACCGUGAUAAGGGGACACCGAGUGCCAGCGUCAUACGCUGGCUGUCCAGGUGUGUAAAAUACACCUGUUAGCAAGGGCCGGGCAAGACCGGUGCCAGCCGCCGCGGUAACACCGGCGGCCCGAGUGGUGAUCGUGAUUAUUGGGUCUAAAGGGUCCGUAGCCGGUUUGGUCAGUCCUCCGGGAAAUCUGACAGCUCAACUGUUAGGCUUUCGGAGGAUACUGCCAGACUUGGAACCGGGAGAGGUAAGAGGUACUACAGGGGUAGGAGUGAAAUCUUGUAAUCCCUGUGGGACCACCUGUGGCGAAGGCGUCUUACCAGAACGGGUUCGACGGUGAGGGACGAAAGCUGGGGGCACGAACCGGAUUAGAUACCCGGGUAGUCCCAGCCGUAAACGAUGCUCGCUAGGUGUCAGGCAUGGCGCGACCGUGUCUGGUGCCGCAGGGAAGCCGUGAAGCGAGCCACCUGGGAAGUACGGCCGCAAGGCUGAAACUUAAAGGAAUUGGCGGGGGAGCAC
rnacentral:rRNA from 1 species